AAGAAUUUAAGUUAAAAAAACUCUUAGCCUUCAAAGCUAAUAUUAGAAUCUUCAUCUACUUCUUA
rnacentral:tRNA from 1 species